rnacentral:lncRNA from 1 species
AAUGCAUUUAUUUCAGAUGGCAGCGACAUCAGUCCGAAAAAUUUUAAGAUAAAACAUAGAGAUAAGAUCUCCUGACCGAUUAAAAUCAAACCGAAAAUUCAAGCAUGAAAAUGAGAUCUCCUAGUCAGUAAAAAAUCGAGCUAAAAGUUAAGUGCGGAGAUAAGACCUUCUGUCCGAUGAAAAUCGAAUUGAAAAUUCAAAAAUAGAGAUAAGAUCUCUUA